AGACUCCUACGGGACGCAGCAGUAGGGAAUCUUCCACAAUGGGCGAAAGCCUGAUGGAGCAACGCCGCGUGGGUGAAGAAGGUCUUCGGAUCGUAAAACCCUGUUGUUAGAGAAGAAAGUGCGUGAGAGUAACUGUUCACGUUUCGACGGUAUCUAACCAGAAAGCCACGGCUAACUACGUGCCAGCAGCCGCGGUAAUACGUAGGUGGCAAGCGUUAUCCGGAUUUAUUGGGCGUAAAGGGAACGCAGGCGGUCUUUUACGUCUGAUGUGAAAGCCUUCGGCUUAACCGGCGUAGUGCAUUGGG
rnacentral:rRNA from 1 species